UUUGUACUCCCUCCGUUCGGAAUUACUUGUCUCGGAAAUGGAUAUAUCUAGAACUAAAAUACGUCUAGAUACAUCCAUUUCUGCGACAAGUAAUUCCGAACGGAGGGAGUACUAU
rnacentral:pre_miRNA from 1 species